AUGUUGGAGAGGGCAGGGGAGAUCGUGUCCUGGUUCUCCAUAAGGAAGGAGAUGCGGCGCGCGGCGAAGCGAGUCUUCAGAAAUCUGAUGGUGGAGGAAGACGAGAGGCUGACCCCAAAUGGGUUCGCCACUCCGGCGGGCGUGCUGGUGAGCUUGCUCGCUGCUCUGGUUUGGGCCAUGGAGGAGAUCGAAUCUGGGAACCUAUCUCAGAGGGCGAACUGGUGGGGGUUCCGCUCCCGCCGGCGCUUCCCAGCUGGACCAGAGGAGUUUGUGGUUGGGGCGAUGAUGGCAAUCCCCACCCCGGGGACGCACUGGGUCCCGAUUCCGAUCGAGGAUAGCAAGGAGGAGAUGGCGUCAUAG
rnacentral:rRNA from 1 species